CUGCAUUUCAGAAAGUUAUCCUGGUUUAGAACUAUUUGCUUAGCACAAGCCAAGAAACAAAUUAAUUUUUUAAAUUCCAAACUUAGAUUCACAGAGUGACAUCUGAAAUCAUGGGAUAGAGGUAUGCUGGCCACCAUCAAAUAUCGCAGACCUGCAAUUGAAUCAAGACAUGAAAGUGAUGGACACCUUGAGAAAGUUGCUAGCUCCAAAAUUUUACAAUCGCCAUACCCCUCACUACCAUUGAGGUAAUUUACUCUAUCAAAAUAAAAUCCUCACCUUCAAAACCAAAUGAUUAACAUAUGUUUCUUCAGUCACGGAUAGUUCCUUCACACUGCUUGUUUAUCGGCAAUAUAAUGACCAUACCUCUCACUACCAUUGAGGUAAUUUACUCUAUCAAAAUAAAAUCCUCACCUUCAAAACCAAAUGAUUAACAUAUGUUUCUUCAGUCACGGAUAGUUCCUUCACACUGCUUGUUUAUCGGCAAUAUAAUGUUUGUGUAAGAAAAAGAGAGAAGAAAUAGAUACUUGUAACUAAUUCAGAAUAGAAAAACUAAUAAUUAAAUACGAAGACAACUUACCCCUUUGUGCUAAUGGAUAUAGAGACUACUAAAUAUCUCACGAAAAAGGAUAGUGGUAAUAAGCUAAGGUUUCAUUAAGAUGACACUUAAACAAAAAGAAACGAAGGGGGAAAAGUAGAGAGCUAAAAAAAGUGCAAAAUGUCAC
rnacentral:lncRNA from 1 species